UGUGCCGCUCCCGCGAGUGCACCCACGUCUCGCUGGUGCCCAAAUCCGCAUUUUUUUUUUUCUUCUUGUCACAGCUGUCCCGGCGCGGGCCGGAGAGGGCGGUACCCGGGGACAGCGGGGAUGACGUGAGCCGCUGCAGAGCGGGGCGGGGGGCUGCGGCCGAGCGCAGGGCGCACCGGCUUCUAAUCCUCUUGUUUUCCCUACAGUCGGCAGAUGCGGCUUUUUUCGAGCUGAAUAAUCCGUUAAAGGAAUAAUAACAACAAAAAAAAAUUUUUAAGACGGAGAGAGAGAGAUCGACCUCAGCCGAAGAGGACAGGGAAUGGAUUAGGGCUGGAUCCUCCGCCUCUCUUGGGCGCGCGCAAACGCUGCGGACUGCGGUGUCUUGAGCCGGAGAACAAAAAAAAAAAAAAAGGAAGGAAGACCCUCCCCACCCAGCCACCCACCCAGGACAAAAGCAUUUUGGGGUGGCAAGAAGGGGGCUGCAGGAAGCGCCUUCUCCGGGACUCGGCGACCUGGGGCCAAGGGGCGCCCGCCCUGUGCGUGGAAUCCGGAUGGAAUUGAUCCAGCCGCAUCCGACAGGAGUGACCUUUGAAAUCCGUGCGCCCCCCUUAUCUUGGUAAAUCCCUUUGACAGCUUGGGGCGGGGUGGGUGCGGAGCGUGGUGCGGGGUGUUCGGAGACGCGCAUAUGCAUAUAUAUUCUCGCUUCCUAGCUCAGCCUGGUUCUGGCUCGCUCUCCCCGCCCUCCUCCGUCCU